AUGAUCGUGCUGCUACACUCCAGUCUGGGUGGCAGAGCAAGACCCUGUCUCUUAAAAAAAAAAAAAAAUUCUGUCAUACAUGUAAGAACUCAGUUCUGUUAAUUUUUCUGUCUCUCAACUAGUGAUCACCCCAGAUCUUGGCUUCUCUUUGGUCCUAGUGCAUGUAUGUGUUUCACAUCUGCUCAGCUCGAAAGCCUCAGGCAGUUCAUUGCCCAAGGUCUAGAUUUCAAUUGAUGGUGUGUAACUCAACCCCAGAAAAUGAAACUAUGGAUAAGUGAGGACCUCUGUACUAUUGAGGAUGCGACCUGUGGCACUAAGAUACAAUCAUGGAACUUAGAAGAACUACAGAAUUUUUUAAGAAAUGGCGUUUUCCAGUUCUAAGCCCAGUAAGAAAAGCCGUAAUAAAUAUUAGGGAUUCACCUAUUAAAUAAUGAAGAUUGAAAGAUCAGGACCUCUUUCAGCUUGUUCUAAUUAUAGGCAAAAUUUAAAGAGAACUGGCACUUCCCUGGCAUGAGAGCUGAGUGACAAAAGGCCAGCUACAGAAGCAGCCCUUCUUUCUGCACCUGGGGAGGAGCUCUGCCUGCUGCUGGUUGGUUCUGUGGGAACAGUGCACCCUGCAGCUGCACACCUGGCAACUGGCACACCGGAAAGGGGUGAAGGGGAAACUGAAUCGAGAUCGGAGAGAGUGGUAGUGCAUAAUUACCUGUCAUUCUGAAUGACUGAUACAUCAGGCUUUGCUUUACUCUUUGUUAAGAUUGGCAAAAUAAUUGUAAAUUGAUAAAAACUAUUCACACCCAGUGAUGCUGAUUUCCAGCUGUUAAUACAAUAAAAAUGUGUUUAAGGGUUAAGUGGAAAUAGCCCCAAAGGACUCUCUCGCUUUCUCUGAAAGUAUAUUUUACUGUUCCCGUUCUUUCUGGCACCUCCCGAUGUCUGCUUUUUUGCCAGCUCAUUAGCAUAGUAGUGACUGAUAGAGCUAAUGAGUUAUGAGCCCUGAAGUGUGCUGACUGUAGUUAGGGCUGACGGCUUGUCAGCACAUCGGUGGCCGACUUUCACCUUCUGUUCUACUUCAGCAUACUGUUCCUAUCUUUUAAAUGAAAAAUCUGACCAAAUGUAUAAUAGAGUGAGAAUUUAUGUUUAUUUUUAACAAAUAGACUGUUGCUAAAAAUUAGCAGCAAGUCCAUUACUCAUGGUAGAAAGUGAUGUUUAGAUGCAGGUGGAUGUAGAGAAGGGUGGGAAGGAGGUGCGGUGAGGAUGCCGAGGGCCUUGCAGGCAGAGGGGACAGCUGUGUGGUGGAAUCACUAGAAGGUGCUCAGAGGUGUGAAAUUAUCCUGGGCAGUGAGAGAAGGGCGAAAGACUGCUGAUUGACACUGAUGAGCCAGUUAAAAUAAAAUAAAAGCUUUUAGUGAUUCCAAUUCAUGGGAUUCUUCAUGUUCCAGCCUUUAGGAGCCUGGCCACAGGGGUAGAGGAGUCAGAGGCUUGGGUCCAUCUGGGCCCUGUGUCAGGCGUCUCCUGAUACAGGGAGGUGACCAGAGUGACACAGGGACAGGAGGAGGUAAAGGUUCUGUACCAAGGGUUACAAGAGAAGCCGUUUUCUGUAGUAAUUUUGCAUUUUGGCUGAGACAGAAAUGUAAGCAUGAACAUUUUUCAAGGAAAUACCUGUGAUGGAAAGGGGAAGUGCGUAAUGUGAUGAGUGUCCAGGGUCCACCUUCUGAGUUGGGGGUACACUACCAUUUUUAUAUCUAAGUCGGGGAAAAGUUGUAACCCAAAUUUAGUAAUUUUGAUAAGAUUUCUUAUUAUAUGGGUUGGAACUCCCUCCACUGUGUUUUUAUUAUGUCAUGAAUAAAAUGAACCCUUGCAGGAGCUUUAACUUGGUUUUCUUGAAUAUUGAAAUCCCUGAUGUGGUUGAAUGAACUUACAGAAAAAUAAAAAUACUAAAAUCGUGUUGUGA